UAGCUUUUCUUCUCUUCUGAAUUGAUUUCUCUUGAAAUUUUCUAAGGUUAGAACUCUAGAGGAUUUGUCGAAAAAUCAAAGGAGUCGAGCUUGGAAAACCACUAAUUCAUUUUUGUUGAUCUUUGUGUUGUUUGCAUGGAAGAUGCUCACCCUGGAACUCUUGAUUGAGCAGCUGCUAUUCUAAUGUACCAAUGAAUAAAUUCGAGAUUUCAUGUUUUUGAUCAUCACCGUGAAAAGGUAUAAUGUUCGCAGCUUUUAGUCGGAGGUGUUACAUGUACCCGUUAAAUAUUUGUGCUAGAGCUUGGCAAAUAGUGAAUGGGAUGGUAAGCAUGAACACCAUUUUUGUCUCAAGCAAGCUAUGGUAAACACACAGAUCCGGUGCUUGGUCGGGAUUGGAGCAAGAAACUCAAGUAUCUUGCGGGUGCAAGUACUGACAAGUCCAUUAAGGUAAGACAUGGCCUAACACUUACAAAAUUGUCUAAAUGAUUUGAACACUAAGAAUAAUAAAAUUUCAUACUAUAGUGGAGAUUUAAUCUUUAAUUAGGCGAUGUGAAUAGUAAGUGCUAUCAUGAGAAGCAAAUGUAUCCUCUUUGUUCAGAAAUGACAAAAUGUUUGUCACUUAAUUUUUUUUUGUCUAGCUUUUGUUUUGGAUCAGUUUAAACAUGGAUGUCAACUAUCAUCUAGGUACACUACGGGACUUACUUAAAUGUAUCCCAAUAUUUUAUGUAGCUUAAUAAUCUUUGGUGACAGAAUGAAAUUUGAACUAAACACCUAUUUUAAGUUUAGUGGAUUAUUAUCAGUUUGUAUUAUACUUUUCUUUUUGAUGCUCAGUGGAUAAUAGUCCACUAUUUCGGUGUUCCCAUUCUAUUUAACGGUAUGGAUGAGAGUGGAUUUGGUCAAGUAUACAAAUCUUGCUUUUGCUACCGACUUAUCAUCAGUCUUUGGUGGUUAUUUAUUUAAAAUCCUAGUAGGUUAAACCUUUUGUAUAUCAAGACUAAAUUUACUCUAAUGUGACUGCACUCUACUGUUACUUUUAGGCAAUUGGCCCGUGUUAAUUUUGGCAACUGGCCGUAUGUUAUUUUUUUGCAAUUGACCCGUGUUAAUUUUGGCAACUGGCCGUCUGUUACUUUGGGGCAAUAUGCCCAUGUUAAUUUUGGCAACUGACCGUCUUUUACUUUUGGGCAAUUGUCCCGUCUUAAUUUUGGCAACUGGCCGUCUGUUACUUCUGGGCAAUUGGCCUGUGUUAAUUUUGGUAACUGGCCGUCUGUUACUUUUGGGUAACUGGUCCGUGUUAAUAUUGGCAACUGGCCGUCUGUUACUUUUGGGUAAUUGGCCCGUGUUAAUUUUGGCAACUGGCCGUUUUUGAGUUCGGCAACUGGCCGUCUUUGAGUUCGGCAAUUGGCCGUCUGUUAUUUCGGCAACUGGCCGACUCUUAUUUUUGAAAUUGGGACCCUUGUCGAUUUAUAUGAGUAUUAUGGUAUGGGACAUAUGCUCAUGGAAUUCUGACUUUGAGACUAAUGGAUUUCUACCGUGUGCAGGAUUAUGACUUAACGAAUUUUUUUACUUUAGUGGCGUAUUAGGGAGUAGGAUCUUGCCAAGCGACCCGUAACCCGACCCGCUGGAAGAAAAAUUCUCUGAUCCGUCACAGUUGAUAUCAGAGCAGUUCCGGUUCAUUCGGAACAGUGAGGUUUGGACUCAUCAGCGAUUUUAUUGUACUGCGAUUACAGGUAAUGUUCUGUACUUCUUGUUUUGUAUUGAACUUCGGGACGAAGUUCUUUAAAGGGGGUAAUGGUGCGAGAGCCUGAACUUUUAUCUGAGUCUAAUUUCCUAUGUUAGAGGUGGAAAUCAUAAUAAUAUCAUUUGGGAGUGCCCUUAACUCUAGAGAUGCCUUUGAACAUAAAUAUUGGUGCUAAAAUCACUUCACAUGCACUCCUCCACGUCAUGGGACAUGUGUUAACAUUUGAGAUGAUUUGGUGGAACUUUGGUCUUUGGUAUGUAUGAUGAAAGAAAAGAAAAAGAAAGAGAAACUUCCCUUCCUUAACAGAAUAGCUUUUCUUCUCUUCUGAGUUGAUUUCUCUUGAAAUUUUCUAAGGUUAGAACUCUAGAGGAUUUGUCGAAAAAUCAAAGGAGUCGAGCUUGGAAAACCACUAAUUCAUUUUUGUUGAUCUUUGUGUUGUUUGCAUGGAAGGUAUGAAACUUCCUCUUUAUAAAAUUAUAAUAUAUUUUCCUUCGUUGCGUUUGGAUCUGUUUUUGCUUGAGUUGAGUGUGGAUUGUUGAAAUAACUAUCUUUUAGAACAAUGGGUAGUUAGCAAAGAACAUCAGUUUCAUGUUUUGAUGUUUUGAUUUGAGAAUUUAGGAAUUAAGGCUAUUCAUGAAAUUGGGGAUUUCAACAAAAUCAUGUUCUUAUUCUAAAAUAUAAAGUGGGUAUGUUGUUCUCUACAUAAUUCACUUCUAACAAGCUUUGGGAAAGGAAAUUGCAUGAUUGUAUGGUAAAUCAAUUUUGUAAACUCUAGAAUGUUUGUUAUGGUUUUUUACUGAUUUCUUGAGGUCCAGUGGUUGGAUGGGGAUGAAAUUUGGAUAUGUUAUGCCUACAUGUCAGGAAAGCUCGCCUAAAAUUUCAGGAAAAUCGGACUAGGAAAAGUAGCAAAAAUUGAUGUAUUGCAGAGACAGUUUGUAGAACUUGUAUAACGUGGCAGAUUUUCCAGACCUUUAAUUGAGUGCUUAGAUUUCAUGGAUUUCUCUGAUUAUUGGGUAUGUAGAACCCAUUUUCAUGAUGAAUAGAUCAUGAUAACUACACCAAGCAAGGAAUUUUCUACAGUUAAACAUGUAAUAAUUCGGUUUGAUGUAAGCAUAUAAAAUCAUCCGUAAGUCGAUGUCUAACCAUUUCUUUCCUUUGAUAUUUUUGUAUGGUGUUGGAUUUCGAUCUAUUAAACAAUGAUGACUUCCGAAUCA